rnacentral:rRNA from 1 species
UACGGGGGGAGCAAGCGUUGUUCGGAUUUACUGGGCGUAAAGGGCGCGUAGGCGGUCGUGACAAGUCACUUGUGAAAUCUCCGGGCUUAACUCGGAACGGUCAAGUGAUACUGUCGGACUAGAGUACAGAAGGGGCAACUGGAAUUCUCGGUGUAGCGGUGAAAUGCGUAGAUAUCGGGAAGAACACCCGUGGCGAAGGCGGCUCUCUGGGACGGUACUGACGCUGAGACGCGAAAGCGUGGGGAGCGAACAGG